rnacentral:rRNA from 1 species
GACGAACGCUGGCGGCGUGCUUAACACAUGCAAGUCGAACGGAAAGGCCCUGCUUUUGUGGGGUGCUCGAGUGGCGAACGGGUGAGUAACACGUGAGUAACCUGCCCUUGACUUUGGGAUAACUUCAGGAAACUGGGGCUAAUACCGGAUAGGAGCUCCUGCUGCAUGGUGGGGGUUGGAAAGUUUCGGCGGUUUGGGAUGGACUCGCUGCUUAUGAGCUUGUUGGUGGGGUAGUGGCUUACCAAGGUUUUGACGGGUAGCCGGCCUGGGAGGGUGACCGGGGUCCAGACGCCUACGGUACGGAGCAGACGCGAACGGGAGGCAACGGUGGAAAGCAUUACACAGUGAGGGCGAGCCUGAGACGACGGCGCCGCGAGCGGAAAGCCCGCCUACUAGUUAUGAACCGCUUUGGCCUUAGACAUGGCGGUAGUGACGGUAAUGGAUAAAGAAGCACCGGCUAACUACGUG